AGUGAACGCUGGCGGUAGGCCUAACACAUGCAAGUCGAACGGCAGCACAGUAAGAGCUUGCUCUUACGGGUGGCGAGUGGCGGACGGGUGAGGAAUACAUCGGAAUCUACUUUUUCGUGGGGGAUAACGUAGGGAAACUUACGCUAAUACCGCAUACGACCUACGGGUGAAAGCAGGGGAUCUUCAGACCUUGCGCGAUUGAAUGAGCCGAUGUCGGAUUAGCUAGUUGGCGGGGUAAAGGCCCACCAAGGCGACGAUCCGUAGCUGGUCUGAGAGGAUGAUCAGCCACACUGGAACUGAGACACGGUCCAGACUCCUACGGGAGGCAGCAGUGGGGAAUAUUGGACAAUGGGCGCAAGCUUGAUCCAGCCAUACCGCGUGGGUGAAGAAGGCCUUCGGGUUGUAAAGCCCUUUUGUUGGGAAAGAAAAGCAGCAGGUUAAUACCCCGCUGUUCUGACGGUACCCAAAGAAUAAGCACCGGCUAACUUCGUG
rnacentral:rRNA from 1 species